rnacentral:lncRNA from 1 species
UUUUGUCUGGCAGAAUACAAAAAGGUGUCACAGAGUUGGCAUUUGAAUUGGAUUUUGGAAGAUGAAUGGAAAUGCACUAGCUGGAGAUGAAAAGAACAUAAUGGACUGAGGAAAGUUCCUUUCCAAAAAUCAAGAAAGCUGUAAAAGGCACGGGGAUUUUAAUAAUUAUCUUCAGUUGGAAUUACAUCAUUCAUCAACAACUUUUGAAACAUAUACGAAAAUUAUCUAAAAAUCCUCAAAAUACCAAUUCAGAAGGAACAUCUACAGGAACACCUGACGAGGCUGCACCCUUGGCAGGAAGAACACCUGACACGGCUGAAAGCUUGGUGGAAAAAACACCUGAUGAGGCUGCACCCUUAGUGGAGGGAACAUCUGACAAAAUUCAAUGUCUGGGGAAAGCAACAUCUGGAAAGUUUGAACAGUCAGCAGAAGAAUAUGUUAGGCCAUGUGUCUCUAUAACAGCUAUUGAACUCUGCAUUGUACAGUGAAAGCAGUCAUAGAUAAUGUGUGAGCAAAUAGGCAUGAUUGCACUCCAAUAAAACUUUGUAUAAAAAACCAUUUGGUAAGCUGAAUUUGGCCUGUGAUAUAUAGUUUCCUGGCCCUUCACACAGAAGAUAGAUGGAGUGUAAUUACAUAAAAAGUUUUAAAGACAAAGU